rnacentral:rRNA from 1 species
AAAGCGUGCGCAGGCGGUUUUGUAAGACUGUCGUGAAAUCCCCGGGCUCAACCUGGGAAUGGCGAUGGUGACUGCAAGGCUAGAGUUUGGCAGAGGGGGGUAGAAUUCCACGUGUAGCAGUGAAAUGCGUAGAUAUGUGGAGGAACACCGAUGGCGAAGGCAGCCCCCUGGGUCAAAACUGACGCUCAUGCACGAAAGCGUGGGGAGCAAACAGGAUUAGAUACCACAGU